ACAUACUGCACCUGCCAUACACCACUGUUUGUUUCCCGACAAAACACGGGAAAAGCCAAGAAAAUUCGAAGCCUCCACGCCUUUUUCGGCUCCAGUCUCCCUGUCCUCCAACAGGUUUAUCGCUCUUACAUUUUUCAUCACGCUUGAAUUGAACGGCUCGAUCAAACAAAAGAUAGUUCAAAAUAUGAACUCUAUACUUCUAAGUAGUGUUUAACAGCAGCUUAAAUAUUUAUUUCUUAAAUUUUAUCAUUCUGGUGAUAAAACCAAAUUUAAUUUGGAAACCAUGUCGUUUUUGUCGCUUCAUGGUGGUGCAAAUCCUCUCAUCUUGUUUUGCCCCAAAUAUAAUGUGACAUAUAGGUUAUUAAAUUUUUCUUGUAAUUAUUCAAUGAAAAGUUAUGUUAAAGAGGUUAGGUUUAGUGUAAACAAGCAGAAGAAUCUGAGUACUAAGUGCCCAAAUGAGGAAUUUUCGGGUGAGUCAUACAACGAGUUGAUUCAGAAAUUCUGUAGUGUAGGGGAUAUUGACAAGGCUAUGGCUCUUCUUGCUGAGUUGGAGGCUUUAGGGUUUCGUCCGAAUUUGGUUUCUUAUGAGGCAUUGAUUGAAGGCCUUGGGAGUGUCAGUAGGACUUUAGAAGCUGAUGCGAUUUUCCAAGAGAUGAUUUGGUUUGGGUUGAAGCCAAAAGUGUGGUUGUUUAACGCUUUGCUAAAAGGGUUUUUGAGGAAAGGCCUUUUAGGACUUACAGUUAGGGUUUUGGUGGUGAUGGAUGAAAUGGGUGUGUGGAGGAAUCGAGAGACUUUUGAGAUUCUGUUGGAUUAUUAUGUUAAGGCUGGUCGGUUGGAAGACACAUGGUCGAUAAUCAAUGAGAUGAAGAGAAAGGGGUUUCGGUUGAAUUCAUUUGUGUAUAGUAAGGUUAUUGGCCUUUAUAGGGACAAUGGGAUGUGGAAGAAAGCUAUAGGCAUUGUGGAGGAGAUUAAGGAGAAGGGAUUGUCACUAGAUAGGCAGAUUUAUAAUAGCAUUAUUGAUACAUUUGGAAAAUAUGGUGAAUUGGUUGAGGCAUUAGAAGUGUUUGAGAAAAUGCAACAAGAAGGUAUAAGGCCAGAUAUAAUGACAUGGAAUUCUUUGAUUCGGUGGCACUGUAAGGCAGGUGAUAUUGGUAAGGCUCUUGAGUUGUUCACUGAAAUGCAAGAGCAACGGCUUUAUCCUGAUCCAAAAAUUUUCAUGACCAUCAUUAGCAUUUUGGGAGAGCAAGGGAAGUGGGAUGUGAUAAAGAGGAAUUUUGAGAAUAUGAAAUACAGGGGGCAUAAAGAAGUCGGAGCCAUUUAUGCAAUUUUAGUUGACAUUUAUGGUCAGUAUGGGAGAUUUCAUGAUCCAGAAGAGUGCAUAUCUGCUCUGAAGUCAGAAGGUCUUCAACCAUCUGCUACCAUGUUUUGCAUCUUAGCAAAUGCUUAUGCUCAGCAGGGAUAUUGUGAACAGACUGUUAAGGUGCUGCAGCUCAUGGAACCAGAAGGAAUUGAACCAAAUUUGAUAAUGCUAAAUGUGUUGAUUAAUGCAUUUGGGAUCGCUGGUAGACAUAUGGAAGCAUUAUCUAUUUAUCAACUUAUAAAAGAAAGUGGUAUUAGUCCUGACUUGGUGACAUAUAGUACACUUAUGAAGGCAUUUAUACGAGCAAGGAAGUUUGAUAAGGUGCCCGAAAUAUACAAAGAAAUGGAAUCUUCUGGAUGCACCCCAGAUAGAAAGGCUAGAGAGAUGUUGCAAACAGCAUUAAUGGCCCUUCAACAGAGGCAUUAGCAUGAUGGCUUCACCUGAUGGAUGCUCUAUUUCACAUCUGAAUCUUGGGCCUGCUACUUCACUGUAAUCAUAAGACUAAACAAGGUUGCCCGUGUGGCCAACAUUUGGUCUUGGAAUGUGAUGAAAUUUGAUUUGGAGUGAAUAUACGACUGGGAUCGGAUGUAUCAUGGAGCAGGUUUCUGUCUGGUUGAAGGCCCUCUCUUGACCAGCUCCUUAGAUGUCUAUGAUAUUUUGAAGUUGGGAUUAUAGAGUGUGGUGUGGGAUUGCUGAAGUUACCGUCUUUGGAAAAUUAACUCAGGAGAUAAGGCUCAUCGCUUAGCAAGUAAAGUAUGUGUAUAAUAACAACAUUUUUUAUCAAGGUCAUCUCUGAAUAAUUUUUUGCUUGGCUGGAUGAAUGAUGGUUCUAAAAAGGUGAGACGGCCACAUAUUUUCACGGUCGUUUGGUGUUGAUAUGCAUGAAUAGAAUGUUGAGUAUUCUUGACAGUCCUACGGUGGAGGAUAAGACUUUAUAUUACUUGUGACUUACUUCAUAUAUUCCAACUGGCAAAAGCACUGAGGGGAAGCAUUUCGAAGAAAAUAGUGCUUUUAUGAUCUGAACUUGAAUUUGCAAGGAAGUUGAAGAAUUUUUCAUUUUAGAUUGAAAUAUUGCGCAUGACUGAGUAAUAAUGCUGUAAUUUUGGUACUUCCCUUGUACUAUUUCCGGCUUCGCACUGUAUUGUAAAUCAGCUUUUUAUGUGCUAGAUUAAUGUGUGUUAAAAAUUGGAGGCUCGACAUUCUUAUAGAGUGCCAUGAUGAAACUAAGUGUAGAUGGAGUCGGACGAUAAAUUAGCAAAGUGUAGAUGAAACUGAAUUAUAUGGAAAAUGUUCAUAAGCAUAAGAGGUGGUGCCACUUCUAGGAGAAGAGCAGAAUUUGUGAGUAAAAUCUUCACUGCACUGGAUAAUGGAUCUUAAAGAAGCUACAGAAUGUGUCGGAUAAUCUUUUGUGCCAUAAUCUGACAGUUUAUGAGGCUGUAGAUCUAAAAUACAAGCUGGAAGCUUUCAGUUGAGUUCAACCUGAAAUAUGAAGUUCUCUAUGGUAAAUGAAGAAAGUGUUUGAGAGAGGUUACUUGAAGGCUCCUGGACUGAAGUGGGCUUAGGUAUGUUUAACCUUCGCAUUUGUAAUCUUUUAGGGAUUUAUGCACGGAUUGUUAUGUCAUUUUCCAUAACAUGGCCUAUAUUAUACACUUGAGUAGUCCCACGUGUUAUUUCAUCAAAUAAUAGUUAAUGUAUAUGUUUAUAUUAUAUCAGUAGAGGAAUUUUGCAGUCUGUUAA